CCUGGGUGCUAGCGGGGUGCUGGCGCUGGUGCACGCCCCGCCCGCCGCGAGCGCCGGGCGGCCGGGAGCCGGGACGCGUGGAAGAUGCCCCGUUGCAGCCCGCGCGCCGCCGCCGUCCUCCUGCUGCUGACCCUGCAGGCGCCGCCUUCCAGCUCGGCCCCUCUGAACGGAUCCAAGUGGACCUAUAUUGGUCCUGAUGGGGAGAAGAGCUGGUCCAAGAAGUACCCAUCAUGUGGGGGCCAGCUGCAGUCUCCGAUAGACCUGCACAGUGACAUCCUCCAGUAUGAUGCCAGCCUUGGGCCCCUGGAGUUCCAAGGUUACAAUGUGUCUCCCGGUGAUCGGCUAAACCUGACCAAUAAUGGCCAUUCAGUGAGGCUGUACCUGCACCCAGACAUGCACAUCCAGGGCCUCGGCUCCCACCGAUUCCGUGCCACACAACUGCACCUGCACUGGGGGGACAGCAAGGAGCCCUUUGGUUCUGAGCACACCAUCAGUGGGAAGCACUUCGCUGCUGAGCUGCACAUUGUCCAUUAUAACUCAGACCAGUACCCUAACAUCAGUGCUGCCAGUGACCAGUCAGGAGGCAUCGCCGUCCUAGCUGUUCUCCUCGAGAGGGGCUCCUUCAGUCCAUCAUAUGACAAGAUCUUCAGUCACCUUCAACACGUGAAGUACAAAGGUCAACAAGUGCUCAUCCCAGGCUUCAACAUCGAAGAGCUGCUUCCUGAGAAGCCUGCUGAGUACUACCGCUACAAGGGGUCCCUGACCACCCCACCUUGCAACCCCACCGUGCUCUGGACGGUUUUCCGCAACACUGUGCAAGUUUCCCAGGAGCAGCUGCUGGCUUUAGAGACAGCUCUGUACUGCACAGAUGUGGGCGACCCUUCCCCCAUAGAAAUGGUCAACAACUUCCGGCGAGUACAAAAGUUUGAUGAGAGGCUGGUGUACAUCUCCUUCCAACAAGGGACAGAGAUUGAGGGCAGUUACAGAGGAUCAGAAGAAACCGGGCAGGAACUUGAUUAUGACAUCCAACAGUAACCCCUACUUGUAAUGAUGGACUGUGGCUUUGGGAGUAAUUAGCCAUCUUCUUACACUGGCUCCCAUCCAAGUAGUUGCUUGUAGAUUGGGUAGUGAAGGCAGGUUUUGUAGUAGAGUGCUUCAGUAAAUUCUUCAAGUGUGGCCGGGUAGAUUGAGAGGGCUUGAAGCAGAAGCUUGUAGAGCAACUGAGGAAGCUUAGUAGUCAAGAUCAAAGCCCAAGUGCAGCUUUGCCGCUGAGCUUCCCUGCAUGGCUUGACCACACAUGCCGCUUCCAUGAGCCCAGGCUGGGCUCAGCUUUCUCCUUGCAGUGAAAAUUCAUGGCAGCCCAAGGCAAACCUGUUCAUCUGGAGGCUGAUUAUAGAAACCUGGCCAGAAUUUGGUCCCUCUUACUUCCCAAAUACACAGGCAGCUAACAUGGGUGCUUCCCCAGGAGCAAUGAAGAGGCAGCCCCUGAGAUGUGAAGAGCCAAACCUCAUGUGCCCGGGAGUGUGCCCCAAACUCAGCUUGGAGCAGGUCUCAGACCGUAACACGCUGUCUCAGGCUUACGGUUGAGCCUGUUUGUUAGCAUGAGCCUUGAGCAAUUUGGACUCAAUUAUUUGUAGACUCUUCCACUGAGGCAUGUUUGUAAUUAUGGUCUGGUUGACUCAGGAUUUUCUCUGGAUGUUAACAAGAGCUAUGGAGUCUGGAAAUUCUGCUGGGAGGAAAGUAAUGUAAAGGAAAUCCUCUAGGAGAGAUUGGGUGGAAGGGGUGGAGAUGUGAGGUUUAAUAAAUAGAGACAACUGAGACUCAGUCAUUUCACUUGACCCUGCUGUCUUCCUAGACUGUGCUCAGAAAAGUAUUACAGAACCUGCUUUCUGUCCCAAGAGGUUUACAAUCUAGCUGUACUUCUGCCCUGGGGAAGGGUUUCACAACAUUGGUACUACUGACAUUUCAGGCAGGAUAAUUCUGGUUGUGUCCUGUGUGCUGCAGCAUUAGCAGCAUCCCUGGUCUGUCCCCAUUAGAUGCCAAUACCGUCUCCCCGUGUGGCAACCAACAACAUCUCUAGACCUUGGCAAAUUCUCUGGAGGAGAAGUAGCAAAGUAGCCCUUGAUUGCUGGGCAUGGUGGCACACACCCAUAAUCCUAGCACUCAGGAGGCUGAGGCAGAAGGAUCAGACAGGAAGUUCGCUGUGAGUUUGAGCCCAGCCUGGGUUACAUGGUUCCAGACCUUCCUGAACUGUGCAUAGCGAGAUCCUGUCUCAAAAAAGCGCCCCAAUUGAGAUCCACUGCCCCAAGGGUUGUUCAAUGACUCUCCUAGGCCCAGGACUGAUUUUUUUCACUUGUGUCAUAGGACUCUAAAGUCCUAUGUCACAUGGCUUGGUCUUUUCUUUAUUCUGUCUUCUUUAUUCUGUCAUGGCAUGAAAUUUCAGUCUGGUGAAGACUGUGCCUGAAGCAACAAAGUUGAAGUUAUUGAGGUAGAACAAACAAAUCCAAGAGAUGCCUCAUUCCCCAUCUUCCUUUUUCUAGAAAUGGGUGAGGCUAAGAGAAAUGGCAUGAAAAAGAACCCGUCCCCCUUAUGGGAGUACCCAAACCUCUUCAUUUGGGGUCCAGAGGCUUCUAAAGUAGCUACUUUCUUCAGAAUUCCGUCAUCAUUCCUUUCCCUCUCCCUUCUGUAGGAGUUUUUCUCUCUUGUAGGUUGUUUCCUGUUGCCUUUGGUUAAAAUGUCUACUCUUACGGAAAAGUGACAGUCAUGCUAGGUACUGUUUUAGCUCUUGAAAGGUUCUUCUUCCAAAGAAGAUUCUGCUUCCAAAGAAGACCUUGUCAUUGAAGUGGGCGCCCAGAGAGGGGAAUCAUUGCAGAACCACCUCAGAUGGCACAGGAGUCAGAUGCACUAAGUAAUGAGAAAGAUAGCAGAAGCAGAAGCCUGUCCCAGGGGUCCAGGCUUCGGGCUUUGGCCUGAUUCUUGGCUGCUUCAGGCUGACCCCUCCCACUCCAAUGACACCAACUCUGGUGAUGGCUAAUAGCAAGAGCCCAUCAAACAUAAACACUGUACCAAUGUUAUCUAGCAUUUUUUCUGACUUGUCAAGGAAAGGGAAACAGGUGGGACAAAAGGAGGCCGCCAAGUUUCUAUAAUCACAUCUUCAGUGGGCCUGCUCUGAGCAAAUGCAUGUCACCUGCUGCAGGGCCAGAGCCCUGACUGUAGAGUAGCAUGGUUAGGAUCUGCUUAGAGUAGCACUGUUAGCAUCUGCUUGACCCUCAGGGACCUGCGUAGUUUUAGAAAACCUUAAAAGAGAGAGAGAAAUCUUACAGCUAAGAUGGCUAAUUAAUAUUUGAGAUUAGAAUAUAUGUGCUAUGGAUAUUGACAUUGUGUUUAAGUUUUUACUUAUAAAUAAAAGGCAUUAGCUAGAAGAGUACCAACGAUUCUUCCAAAGCAUCCAACCAAGUAACCAGAGGAGUCCUACCUUCAGAUUCCUAAAUCUGCCUCGGGGCUGAAUAGUCUGGAGCAGUUGCCAGAUGUGCUAAGAAGUGAAGUCCCAGUCUCCUUCAACACCUGACAUGUUUCCUGAGUACAGCUCAGUUGUGCACUGUGGGGAUGGAAAACCCCACCAUGCCUCACUUUGCACCUGGCUCAGAGCACACUGUGCUUAGGAAUGACUGGGAAAAGGGCUGGGGCAGGGCUGAGCUCCCUCAUGGGUUCUCAUGGCACCCAUCCUGCCCUCUCGGCCUCAGUCCCACCAACUGUAGGGCCUCCCUUACAGGGCAGCUGCCUUCAAGUGCACACACUAUUCCUUUUGUCUGGGGUGGCUCUCACUCUCCUCCACCUGGGAAAUUCCUUCAAGACCCAACUCUAAUUGCAUCCUCAUAAGUCCUCCCUGGUCCCCUGGAAGUGACUUAUGGUCUCUUUGCUACAGCCAGACCCAACUUAUUCAUCCCUAUUAUAGUACUUUGUAUACCAUAUUUCUUACCAUAAUUUAAAAACAGGAAGGAAGAAAGGAAAUAAAUAUUAUACACACUAUACAGCUCCUUAAGGAAGGGAUAAUUGAUGUCUCACUCCUUUUUCGUGUCUGGCACAGUGCCUGGCGCUCAUUAUAAGCCUGGUGAAAAAAAUGUAACUGACUUGUCUCCCACUUCCUGCACCAACUCACCAGUGCCUUCUCUGAAAAAUGACUUAUAUAUGAGUCUGGCCAGUUGUCAAAUUUUAGUUUUAAGUUUCACUUUGCUUUGUUCUCAUUCAACCCAUAUGUUGUUCUGUUUAAAUCAACCCACAUGUUUAAGAAAAACUAAAGAUCAGAGCUUCCCGUCUGGUUCUGGAGGUCUGGGAGGAAGUUGCUGAGCUGUGUUACACACCUUUUGUGGCUCUGACUCACCAGAGGGCCCAGUUCCACACCCAUCACUCCUUCAGGACAUUGGCCUAGGCCACCAAAGGUGGCUCACGGCACCAAGGGCUGCCACUGGAAUUGCCCCUGCUGCUCCAGCUCUUAGGUCCCUUGGAGCAGUGUCUCUCUGCUCUAGGCCUGCUCUCCUGCGGUUUGGAAGACAGAGCCUUCAAUCCUAUCACAGUUGUAUAAACAGUUCCUAUGUGUAAUCUGGUGGGGUCUUUUUGGCAGAUUUUUUUGUAGAAAUUAUUUCCUGACUGGGUUGUAUAGUGUUAAUAAGGAAAGCUCCCCAGUUAAAUGUAUCCUCCAAAGAUAGUCAUGCUCUGGUUACUGAGGGCAUCUACCUUACUUUUCUUUUCCUUGUUUUUCUGUGAGACAGGGUCUCACUAUGUAGUUCAGCCUGGCCUUGAACUCACUAUGUAGCCCAGGCUGGCCUCAAACUCACGGCGAUCCUCCUGACUCAGCCUCCCAAGUGCUGGGAUGACAGGUGUUCGCCUCCACCCCCAGCUACUUUGCUUUUCUUAACCAAAGCAUUAUCCAAAGAGAGUACCAGUGUUGUAGUUACUUGACACUGUCUUUUAUAACAGAGCACAGUAACAGGAAUUUUACCAUCCCGUACUGGAUUUUAUGUAUUUAAAUGUCUGAACCCUUGGUAAGCUAAACUCUCUUGGUCUCUUUUAUAAGACUAGAGAUUGCUGAAGACCCAUAGAUGAAUAUAUGUUAUCACUGUAUAACCUGCUGCCUACAAAAAAUUUGAUACUUUAAAAUAAGACUUUGAAAAAAAAAGGAUUAUGUUAUAUAAUCAAGUAGAAUUGCAAACAGAGUUAGAAAAUACUAGACUGUUGUUCCAGGAACCCCAAGAUGUAUGCAUGAGGUGCUUGCUCCUCAGGCUGGACUUGUCUGUGUUCACAAUUGAGGCUUCAGGAGACCUCAAAGCAGUUAACCAGCAUCCUCGGGCCAGCCAGAUGCCAGUGGAAGAUGCAGCUCCUGAGCCAGCCAGAACAGGUAGCAAGGCCCUUGUGGCAAGCAGCUCCCAACCUCCUCCAGGUAUCUGUACCUUCCUGGAUAAGGCAUGCACAAUCCAGUUCUGUGUCUGUGUCAUUUCCUUUUGUGUGUUAUACUGCCUUGUCUCUGCUCACCCUGACUUAAACCUGAGCACUCUGUGGACAGCAGACAGCUCAGCAUGUUGUCUUUGUCACCAGCCAGCUCAGGCACCCCUUCUGCUGAGUUCUUAGCACUGCAGUGGCUGUCAUGGGCCACCUCUGAAGCAGUCUGUCUCAGUUUCUAUCUUGUUCUUUGUUUCUUCUUUUUUUUCCUGUACCAGGGAUUGAACUCAGGACCUUGCGCUUGCGAGGCAGGUGUCGUGCCACUGAGCUAAAUCCCCGGCCCUUGUCUCAUUGUUCUUCAGUGGAAACUGCCUGUCUUAGUCCUUAUUUAGAAACAGUCUUUGUUUAAUCUGAAUGUAACUUUCUCUGGCCAUCUUUAAGGCCUAUUUUCUAAAGCGGCCUAGAGACUGGGCCCCAGUGAGGGUCUGCUAUGAAACAGGCUUUGGCUUCUCUCUCCCAGCUGUAGUUCUCUGAAUUGCCCUGUGCUCUGAACAUCCUGCUGACUUUCCCUCUCCUUUUGGUUAGCAGAGUCUCUGGCUCUGCCUCCAAUGGGACCCUGGCCCCGUGGGCUUGCCCCAUCUCUGUAGAGAAGCCCAUCUGCUUGAUGGUUGGUGCUGCCCAGAUUGGCAGGGGCGGUGUUCCAACUACAUCUUCCUGUCCCAGGCUUCAUAGCAGGGUAGAACUAUUAGCUGACCCCCUAGCUGGCAUUCCUUUUCCUUAGUGACGUAGGCUCUUUGCAUGCUCAGUCAAGCUGCCUUGUUUUUGCUAAAUCACAGAUACUGAAGGCACCUGUUCCAGUCUCUGGGUUCCUUAUCCUCAUGACUGUUUGGUCUCAUAUCAUUGUUUUCAAGGAGAGCCAAUUUCACACCUGACAAGUGGUCACCCAGGAGCAAAGUGCUUGGGUUACAGCACUGGAUUGAAUGAUACAGUAGUCUUGUGGGCCUAUUUCAGUCAAAAGCACUACACAGUGAACAGGGGAAAGCCACUCUCCCUAUGCAGAAGCCACCAAGCUGGGUCUGUGCUCUGGAGAAAAGGCCCAUCUUGGGACCCUUGCUCUCCACUGACUGCUCAGCAAACUAAGACCAUGGCACGAAGGCACCUCCCCAGCCAUGGACUGAGCCUGCUCAGGUACCUGAGUCCUGUGUGGCUCUCAGCAUAUGUGAGGUGAUUGUGAAAGAGUCAACUGCAGGAAUAUCAUCCAGUUUAGACAGCUUAGCAAAGUGGCCAAGCUUGCUAGUAAUAGUCUUUAUGUGGUGAGAACUGGUUUUAGUACUUUAAGCUUCUGGAGCUUUAGGAACAAUGAACAGAAGUGUAUUUCAUCAAAGGACUUAGAAAAGAAUCAUGGCUAGGUUUUGUUUGCCUGAGAUCCCGAGGGGCAAAGUGUCUGGGUACCUUUAAACAAAAACCACAAACCCAAAUACCAAGUUGCACUGUGCAGAGGCUACAGUGGGGAACAGUGGGGAACAGGUGGGGAACAGUGCACCACAAGCUGUACACACAUGUGAAGCUUCUCAGAUGGGACUCAAGGCCCCAGCACCUCCCCAAGCUGAAGAUUGGUCCUCGAGCUCCAGAUACAAGAACAGGCCUAGGUGGGGAAUCUGGCCGGGGAAUCUCUUUCUCUGACACUUGGGAGGCCAUGAGCUGCAGGCAGUGCCAAGAGCAGGAAGAACAGCUCACCCUGUCCUUGAGGACAGCUCUCUCCAUGCCUGUUCUGUUUACCCUCACAGGAGCCUAGGGCCACCUAGGGAAGCAAGACCUGGGACAUACAGGGACCAGCCUUGCAUCAGGGAGGCUAUGCAGGCUCGAUGGGACAUUGCAAAACGAUACCAGGGAAGGGAUACAGUUAAUGGAUGCUGGGGAAUCAGCUACAUCCUGGCCACAGGAAAGGAGAAGGGGAGCGAGCAAAUCCUCAUCCUGCAGCCUGAAACGUGGUGCCUCAGAGUGUCCAGUGCCCCAGAAAGGGAGGCUGGCCCUCUGCUGGCAUCUCAUAUUUGGCCAGGGCCUCCCAGGGUCUUGGAGGCCCUAGUGGGCUCUACAGGCACAGGCACUUCUGUGUGUCAGGCUUGGUGGCCACCACCUGUACAACUCUGGUUUCCAGUGUGAGUUAGAACAACUGCCUCAGCAAAUACACACACACACACACAUUUUCUGUUGAAAUCAGAAAACCUCCAGAGGAAACUUUCUUUAGACGGAGGACUUGACUGGAAGAAAGGGAAAGAGUAAAAAGAACCUGAAAGAAGCAGGCAGGGCAAAGCCAGGGAGAUGGCACGAUUUGGCUGCUCUGCUCAUGCAAGAAAAUGGGUUCACUUGUGAUCUGCCCUGGGAGACCCUUAGAUAGCUAGGUACUGGUUCAGUCUCACGGAGGAUUCCCAACUCACUCCCAACGGUGACUCACUUGGAGAAGCACGAUCUCCUAGUUCCAUGGAGCAGAGAUGAGAAGCAAGUGUAGUGGAGGCGUCCAUUCAGUAGGGCCAAGCAACAAAAGAGGCAGCAUAAUGACAGAGUGGCGGGGGUUGGGGAGGAGGCUGGUGGCAGAGUCCUUUCUGAGGAAGAUGGCAGGUACCAGAGAAGCAGAGAGCAGCCUCCCAAGUAGGCUGAUUGACUCUUACCUUCCUCGCCAUCCCUCUCUGGCCAUACUGUGUUAGUAACUGAAGUCUUGCCCUGGCAAAGAGACUUCUGUGGUAAAGGAGAUAGGAAGGAGGGAUCACAGUAAGAAUCCCUAGGUGGGCGCUCCCUCCACUCCAUAAGGCAGUCAUCUAAGCCAAAGGUGACCAUGCCCAGAAAGGCUGCAUAAGCCCGGCACAAGGCAGAGUUUCUCUCAACACGGCCAGAUUCAGCAUGGUUUGACUCUAAUUUCCCAUCUUUUCUACCCCCAUUAUAAUGGAACUCCUUACCGACGCAGAACUGAGUAUGGGCAUCAUCCUGUCCGUGGCCCUGGCUGGUAUUCUUGGCAUCUGCAUUGUCCUAGCAGUGUCCAUCUGGCUUUUCAGAAGGAAGAAGGGUAGCACAAAAGGUGAAAACAAGGGAGUCAUUUACAAACCAGCCAUCAAGAAGGAGACUGAGACUCUCCCCUGAGGCCCCGGGCACUCCCAGACAUCCAAGGAAGCACCUCGCUAUACACCUUGGCUCUCUGGACACUUGAAACUCCUCAAGAUGUUCUCUGGAGCUUAACCUGCAAACACUCCAGACUCUUGGGCCACUGGCCUCCCCCUACCCUUGUGCCACAGCCACCCACAGUGUGAUCCAUGGAUGGGAGGAGCUCCUGGGUCAGAAGGCAGGAACUCUGAGCUAAUUGCUGUACCUGUGUGAGAUGGCUGAGGGGUCUGGAGUCUGGGUCACAGACCGAGUCACCUACAGGUGGGCUGUUCAUGGUUGGAACACAUUUCCAACCAGGAUUUCACCUGAAAUGUUUUCAAGUAUCCUGGAAAUUCUGUUUAUUCUCCAAGCUUUCCGACCAGAAUGUACACUCUCUGUUUAAGUGUUGCUUUUGAAAUUUAGUUUCUUUCUUCAUGGGAGGAGUUAGAUUCCUGGGGUUUACUUUUGCUCUGACAAACCCUUCAAAUCUGACCCCAAAAUGUUGGGGAAGAAUUGACACAGGAAGGGUCAGGUUGUCAGAAAAUGAUACGAGAUACACUUUGUAAUAUAUUGGGCCAUUUUCACAGUCCUGUCCAUUGGGUCAGAGACCUGACUGGACCUUCAAGAAGGGCAGUUUCAAGUUCCAUUUCUUGGUGGAGAUGAAAAGAGAGACAGAGGGGAGAAGGGAUAAGAGGGAGGGAGAGAUCAAGAAUAAGAAGACAUACAUGGUCCAGCAAAGUCUCUCUCUGGAGUCAGAACUGGAAUCACAAGUUGUCUAUUAGGCCACAACAUGAGAUCUGAUCAUUAAGCCCAAUAACCAGCCUGUCCAUGGUUAUGUUUCAUACUUCAAAGAUUUUACAACUAAUUAGGCUAUUUCUUCAAAAAUGAGAUGGUUUCUCCCUCUUAAAGUAGACCUGAGCUGGGAUGGUCCAAUCUGCUUUUCUCUUUUUACCUUUGUUUUAUUUCAUUUUUAAAUUAGUAUAUGUUUGUAAUAGACCUUCCUUUGAAACUACAGGAAAUUGGUAGGAGCAAAAUGACUGCAAGAAAGACUUUGUCUCUUUUGUCCAAAUGUCAUUUGUCACUUCUGUGGUAUUCUUACUGCCAGCCUGAAAUCUAGAUUUGUCUAAUCCUCUGACUUUGAGGAUGUCUGAUCAUGGUUUAGCCAAAACACAUUUUUACAUUAUUAAGAGCAGGAAGCUAUCUGCUAGCAUGGCUGCAGUAUUUAAGGACCAAUAAUUAUGGAAUGUUAACUAAGAGUCUCCACUCACUCCCGAGUUGCAAAAACAGUUUCUGAGAAGACUUAAUUUUGUUCAUUUUCCUCUAAUAGAGGUGAGAACCCUGAGAUUAGUCAGUUCCAUGACUGAAAGGAGCUUCAACCAGCAGCCCCUAAUCACUGAUUCCUUGGAGUUCACAGGGAACUCUGAUUCAGUCUCAUUUUGACAGCACGGAAUGUCCUCUUGAAGCAUAGAUUUCUUUAUAAUGUCUGUUUUCUUCUACUCCGUCCAACUUGAAAAAUUCUCUUGUCCACUGCCACACUUUGGAUGAUGGCAAGUCCAAUGUCUUUGUAGCUUGUCUCAUUAGGGAAGGUUACAGGGGACUUAAUGGGGGCACAGACAUAUUGUGUGAGCCUGGGUGGCAUCCCCCAAGGACAACCAUCAUCAUGGCUGGCCAUCAACACAAAUUAGGUGGUUCCUUGGCCUUGGCCCAGCACUGCCAAUCAGAAACUAGUGCAAGCCGCUUCAGAGGAGUGAGACUGUCUUUCAAAAAAUGCUGCAUACAUGGAUGAGAGAACACAGAGAUCAUUACACUGGCCUAAGGGAUGGUCGUAAAAAAGAAGCCACACAGGGAGAUGAACAGCGGCAUUUCUCCUUCACUCUCCUCCUCAGCACGGCCCAGGCAUUCAGCCUGCGUGGCCAGGAGGAAAAAAAGCCAGGGUAGCAGAAAGAAGGCUUCAAGAAUCCUGCCAGAGUCCGAGCUCCAGUUUGCUUCCAAUUCUCUCUCAUUCCGCUGACAAGAGCCACCACUGCAGGCAGCCGGUGCUGUGGUGUGGGAAGUGCAGUCACCCUGAACUGGAUUCCCCUCGGGGACACAUGGCAGGUGGAAAUGACAACAACAAGGCACAGCCUGGGGAGGACCGUGGGGCAAGGCCCUGCCUUCUCUAGUGUUUCCUUUGCCUCUCACUAACAGGAUUGUGAACCUUUUUGUUCUGUAUCAUCUGGUAAAAACCUGUACCUGUUGCUUUAACAGACAUUCUAGGAUUUGCUGUGCUGACUUCUUAGUCCUGGAAAAAGUUCAGAGCCUAAAUUCCUGCACCCUCAGGGAACUGUGGGCUUUCCUGACCAUCUCUUGGGAAGGUCAGGGACCUGCAGCACCCCUCUGAGCCUGUGCCUCGGACCAGGAGCCACUGUGGUGAUGGUCUGUUUAGCACGUCCAUAUUUAUUGUAACAAUGAUUGUAAUGAAGGCAUACACUGUAAAUAGAAGAAAUUAUAAAUAAAAUGUUUUUCAAGUCAGUCUGAUUUUUUGGAGGUAGGGUUAAAGUGUUACUAUUUUCAAAGCACUUUGUAGCUCCCUGUUAUGGUGAGGGACAACUAAUGAGAACAAAUAAUCCCAUCCUUUACAUUUAGGUCUUAGGACCUGGCUCCAAACUAAUUUAAAUCCACUUAGCUGAGGAUGGAGGCCCGCAAACCUAUGACAUGUGCAGCCCCAAGUCACACAGCUGCUUCUUGGUCGGGGUGGAAAAUCCAGAGUAAUCAGGGAAAGACCAGAGAGGAGGUAGGGUCUAACAAAUUUGGGUUUUGAAGGGUAGAUCAGGUUUAAAAGGAUAGGUGGGAAAAGGAAAGCUCAUGUUCCAAACCAAAGGGAUGUGACUCUAAGGAACAGGUCCUAUUAUCUCCUCACUCCCCAGAGUGCUGUGCCUAGUAUGUGAUGGGCUCUUUUGGUUGCUGUUACUUUAGAUUCUUUUGUGAAACAAGCUAUCACUCCCCAUAUAAACUUUUGUCUAAGAUCAGAUUUAACAUCCUGGUUCACUAAAAGAGGCAGAGCUGUGAAGGUUACAGCCAG